rnacentral:rRNA from 1 species
UGGUCCUACGGGAGGCAGCAGUGGGGAAUCUUCCGCAAUGGGCGAAAGCCUGACGGAGCAACGCCGCGUGAUCGAAUGAAGGCCUUCGGGCUGUAAAGAUCUGUUGACAGGGACGAAUAAGCAAUGCAAAUAGUUUUGUGUAUGACGGUACCUGUUUAGAAAGCUCCGGCUAACUACGUGCCAGCAGCCGCGGUAAUACGUAGGGAGCAAGCGUUGUCCGGAAUUACUGGGCGUAAAGGGCGCGUAGGGGGGCGCGUAAGUCAGGAGUGGAAACUCCGGGCUCAAACUGGAGACUGCACUUGAAA